GGAGAUAUCGAACCUUGGGUCUCCCUCGUCAACAACUUCCCCGGCUGUGACGGAAUGGAUACGGACGAGGGCAACAAGGCCUGCCGCGUCUAUCCCAUUUUGAACGGCAAGGACCGCGACCUGGCUGCAACUGCUGCUAAGAAGGCUGGCAAGCACGACAAGCCCAAGUACUGCGAUUUCUGCGGCUAAUCGCAUGUCACACAUACGCAUGGUGGUGAUCCUUGGUUAUCUACUAUAGCAGUACAUCAAGACGUGUUGAACGAUUUGUGGAAGGACAUGUCUUCAAGGGUGUGAGGCUUAAAUUUGUAUGAUCAGCCGCAUGUGCAUUAUUAUGUUCUAUAUGUGUGAUCAUAGGCAAGCAUGUGUACGGCGGUAGGGGUAUUACACAUGACGAAAGUCAGUAGAGCAUCAUAUACAUGGGUAAGGAGGCACGGGGGACACAGUUCAGUUACUAUCGGCUCACCUGCAUGGGUUUACCUGCACUAGGUGGGUAGAGCUGGAGUCUAAGCACAGUGAUGUGGUCAUCAGUGAGUUUGCUCUGGCACCAGCGACAACCUCGUGGCCCGUAAAAGUCCGUUUAAUGGCUGGAGAUUACCACAGCUGCCUGAUCUCCGAGAUGGGAGUCCCACAAGCUGAACAUAACUCCGCUUGGCUACCAAAGCAGCCAGGGCAAGAAUCGCUGUUACUAUCCUUUCCAGCGCACCGAGUUGCUCGUAGGUUUAGUCGUAGCCGAGCUUGCUGAGGUGUUGUGCGUGCCGGUACGGACCGCUUGUCCUUCCUUUCCAGGCCUGUGUCGAUUACAGCGACAGGCGACGUGCCCUUUGGCUCGGUUUCUUUGCAUUACAGUAUAGAACCUUGGCAGCCCGAUGUAAUAACAACAACAAUAACAACAUAAUAACAACAGCCGGGUCAAAAGCCUGGCCAGGGGAUGAAGCUGAGUAAUGCAGUCACGUACGUGACAAGCAAAUCGUGUCUCUGUUAUCGCAGAUGGUAAUCAUAAUAAUUAUUAUUAUGAUAACGAAGGAAACAGUAACCAAGAUGAUAUUAGAUAUGGAUGGUUUGCUACGCCCCCUUGACACCCUCCCCACCUUUUCCCGCUGAUACUGUCGUUCGCGCAUACUGUCGUUCGCGCAUCCGAUGGCAUCCCCGCCGUGACCGCAGCAGGCAAUGCAGCAGACCGUCGUUCAACGAAGUCCAGGAAGUUGCAUGUUUGUUUUUACUGGUGCCUCGGCUUUGGAGAGUAGUGAGGUAGUGCACUUAGAAUAGUGAGGUAGCGCACUUAGGAGAAUGACGACGCCUCCUAUAUAUAGCCAACACAACUGAAAAAGGGUGAAACUGACUUUGGAGGCUAAUAGAAGGAAAGGUCCUGAUGAGGCAUCAACUGCAAGGAAUUUGAACCAGGGAAGGUUUGGGCAGCGUAAGCCGAAGUAUGAACUGCCAGCAAAAGGAAGGUGCUGCGUUCUGGCCAGUUGGAUGGCAAGAUGUGAAAUCCGGCCGUCGUCGGCUGUCGUCAAGCCGGCUACAGCCAUGUGCAGCAGUAAUGUGCAGUUAGUCCUGCGGCGUGCACGUAGGCUGAACUGCACGUCUGUGAACGAUGCCACAAACUGGCAUGAGCAUCAGUAGGCCGAAAGGAAGGGGCCCAGGCAGUGCACACGUGCAUAUGUGCAUGUACGUGUGGGUAUGUGCGUGUGUGUAUGGGUGUGACUGGGUGUGUGUGUAUGCGUGUGUAUGUGUGUUUUACAUCACCUAACCGGGUUCCGAUACCUGACCAAGGGGCAGCUACUGGACCUGACACUGACCAGGGAUGCAGGGUCCCUGCCCUGACGGAGGGCAGCAGUCGUCAGCAGUCUAGUCGCUCUCCGACACAGGAAGAGAGGGCCUUGAGGGGUGGGCUGCUGACCCCAUCGUGGCGAGUGCACCUACCGUGUAUACACGUAUGUUGUUACAGGGUGGUUAACUUCGCCAACGGCCCCCUUUCCCGAGGCAGUCCCUGCUCUCCCCUGCUAGAGGGGCACCCUAAUCCGUAUGUAUGUAUGAAUAGGACCCCAUGCGUGGUCAACCCCGGAAGCACCUACUCCUCAAGCCCCGAUUUGCUGGAAAACUCCUGAACCCCUACGCCGCGUUACGUCGGUCUAUCUGUAUGUAUGCAUGUAUGAGCGCGCGGCUCAGGCUCCUCAUGAGCUCCUCGCGAAUAGGUCGCAUGUACCACUACAGUGGUAGGUCCACCGCCAGAAAGUCCGGCGGUACCCGGGGGCACUUCCAGGGACCCCGCCUUGCGAGUUCGCAAGGAAGCAAAGCAAAGCAAAGCGAAGGCUGAAGAAAUUAGAGGUGGAGCAGAUUAGAGAGGUCAGCCAUGGUGGCCGCAGUCGGCAGCUGAAGCCCGGUCAGUGAAACCCUUCGACCCGGGUACACAAUUACAAGGAUUCGUGUUCCUAAGCAAUUCCUAGUUCUAGUACCCCAUUGCUAAGUCCCGCUCCGCCUACCACAAAUCAAAGCGUGGGCACAAAAAGCACGGCAUUCUCGACAGAUGCCCAUUUACCAUCUGUACCUGAACAUGCGUGCAUGGUUCAGCAUGCAUGAGACAUGUGCAUACACGCAUAUGCACAACGGUGCAGCAUGCGGGGAACCCCGACCCCGAUCGGGCCCGAGUGCCCGAGAAGCACACCAUGUUGACACUACCCUAGCUACCGGCCUGUACGGAUGCCCCCGCGGGGCCCCCGCCCUAUUUCCAACUUCAAGGAAGCCAACACCCGACUUGUCUCUUCCGUGUAUAUUCUUGAGUACUAGAACGUUUCCAUUGUACUAUGUCCCUAACCUAACUUGUGGUUCUUAGGCUCUUGGACCUCUGGCUCGUACGGGCCUGUCACACCUCUCUGGGUAAUUUGCAAAGGCCGGCUGGAGACCAGCUUCCUCCAGAGAUGUGACUCAACAUUUCCUAGGUGCGUGGAGCACACAAACAAGUCGCCACAAUCAAUCGUCUGGUGCCGAUAGACGGGGGCAAAACUUGAUGAGGGGUGUGUUUGUGUGUGUGGUGGGGGAUCACAAUAACUUGGUUAGCAUGGUCCCGACUAUGCCAACCGUACAAAAAGCGGGAGGGUAUCCGGGGUUCUCCCGGGAUACUACCGAGCAUCCAUUCCACCGUUAGAUCACAACGUCGAUUGACUCACGUGCCGGUCGUGGUCCCAUCCAGGAACUUAUCCACGACGACAUGAUGUAUGACGUGUGAGCUCACGUCAACACCUUCCUCCCCCGGGCGAAUAUGUAGCGGUUGUAUUCGUCACACCCAUUUACUAUAAUGGUGGCAAAUGUCCGUACCCCUCAUCAGCUUGCCAGCGUUGGACGCGACGAUGCCUAGCGUGUAGACGGCUUCUGUGCCGGCGUCCCAUCCAGUGCAAGGUUCAGAUAGCACAGUCUCGGAACGCACCACGAAUCAGUCGAGCAAUUCGCACCAUCCAACAACUGAACGGGGGAUUUAAGCGAAGGAUGCCUCAUAUUAUUGUGCAUCUGUCCCUUACUCAUACAUUGAAUUUCAGCUCUAUCCAGAUAAAUCUUUGCAGUGAUCCGCUUGGGGUCUGGUGCUAUAUCUGAAAAUGGCUUUGAGGGUUGUGUUUGGCAUUCUAUUGCUGGUGUUGGUGGCGCAGCAGGCCGCAGCGGGGGGAAGCGGAGGCAAGGAGCGCCGCUGGCCCAAGGAGUUGAAGGAGGAUUUUCAGGUACAUAGGAUAAUCGGUAAAUCGGUAAAUAGAAAAUAGGUAAAUAGGUAAAUAGGUAGGUAGGGAGGUAGGGCUGAUGUACCCAACCUUUACCACUUGACCCGGUCGCCUCACUCCCUCAUUCGCCAUUCCAUGCACCCUUCCCCCCUAGGACACACACACCAUCACACUAAAACACACACGCACGACGCAACCAGGGCCCCACAUGUUCAUGCGUUGCAGUUUGAGCUCCGCAACAUCUACAGCAACCGGCAGAACGGCAGUCGCUACAACUUCCUCACCAAGUACCGCUAUCCCAGCAGCUCUGGUGGGUGCAGUACAUUCGUAGGGAACUGACAAAGCCGUACGGACCAGGCAGGGGGCCACAUUUCGCUCCAUUCGGAGGCAGUGGUGCUGCGCGCCGAAUGCUUUGCCUUCCUGUGUGCUGCAACGCGCUGUGCUGUGCUCGUCUACUGCAGAGGCAUUCGAUUUCCAUGAGGCGGAAGAGAUUAUCCUGAAGUUCGUGCCUGCCGGUGGCAUGGGCAUCAAAGGCGACGCAUUCACUGAAGUCCUUUCCCUCGCCAUCGCUAAGGCGCUCUGGGCGAAGUUUAACCUUGUCGGCUUGAGCUUCCGCAUUGAGGUGCAGGUGUGUGUGGGGCCCUGUGUGCGGGUGAUGGCGGCUAAUGUGAGGCCGCCUCAUCAGCCCCGAUGAUAAGGUUCAGCUAGGUUUACCUAGGGCGAACGAGACCUCGAGAUGCAGAUGCACAGGAUUACGUACGAUUACAAACCAGUCAGGAAGGAUUUAGGACAAUGUGGAUUGAACGGGCGUAGCUGGGACUCGCCAUGCCGCGUGCCGUACCGUGGUACGGCAGAUUGCGCGCAUCUAUGUCCUUCGAGGACUUGCGACGUUUAUUUAAUUUGUAGUACGAUACCGGAGUAAUAAUAUCAGGGGUCGCGACUGCGCCCACAAAUUUUAACGGUGGCAGCGCCCACGCUACACCCAAGCUGACCAUCCCUGUCAAUUCCAAUCAAUACGUAACCGGCGCAGGGUUCGACACUGACUUUCCUGAAACUUGCGGGAUCCCCCGUACCUCCCAAAUUUUCCCUACGGAGGGGCCCCCGUACCAGGCUCCUGUACUGGCCGAAAACCUUACGGGGGCCCCCGUAACCCCGCAAAACCUUUUCGGGGACACUGUCCUUGGCUAAAACGCUGUGGAAAGUGACACUUUGCAUUUUUUGCCCUGUAAAUCGUUAUUUAUGUUAUUUUCCCGUGAACCAUUACACACGGGGGCACGGCACACUCAGCGAAAGCCAAGCGCCUUGGCCGCCGCGGCCGCCCAUCCCUUCUGCUCCUCUUUCGCGUCCUCCUCCUCAUCAACAAAAUCCUCAUCCACGGACGACUCAUCGGUAUCUCGUUCUACGUCGGUCUCGUAGUCACUGUCACUAAAAGCCUCAUCGUCACUAGCGGGAUAUGUUGCUUGUACCAGUACUUCAAUCUCUGGGUCCGUCGCAACCUCCUCGUUAUCAUCCUCUCCGUAUGGAUUCAAAUUAAUUUUGCUAACGUCAGAAAACAACUUGUGAAUAAUGCCUGUAUAACCCUUACGCGAGUAGAUCCCAGUAGCCUGAUCAAUCAGUGGCUUCGCCCCGGUAUCAGCAGCAGGUCCCAACAUGCCCACAUCCAGCUUUAGCCGGUUCGUCAGGCGAUUCUUAAUAAUACGAUGCCGGCUAAAUCCGCGCUCAACACAUGCCGUCUGUGUUGGCAGGAUUGUAGCGACUUGAGCCAAACGCAUCAUACGCUGCCAUCGCUGGAUGUUAAAGACUGGAAGCUAUAAAAGUAUUAUGAAAAGUGAAGUUAAAUAUUGCAAUAUGAAUUAUGCCUACCAAGUGUGUGGCUUUAUCCUUUAUAUGGUCCGUCCUCUCCCCUACAGGGCCCCGUAAGGCCUCUUAUUGUCUGCCAUCGCUGGAUGUUACAGACCAGAAGCUAUAAAAAUAUUAUGAAAAGUGUAGUUACAUAUUGCAAUAUGAAUUAUGCCUGCCAAGUGUGGGGCCUUAUCCUUUAUAUGGUCCGUCCUCUCCCCUACAGGGCCCCGUAAGGCAUCUUAUAAAUCCUUAAAUUUCUUACGGGAGUCACCGUAACCGGCCUUCGCCCUGUUCGGGGUCGGCCCCGUACGGGGCGCUUCGCGCCCCAAAAUCUUUACGGGAGCCACCGCAAAGUCCUACGGACCCGUACGGGGAUACCGAAAAAAGGCCAAAAACUUACGGGCCCCGUACGGGGUGUCGAACACUGAACCGGCGCCAGCUGGUUCACCCACUCUUCGCUUGCAUACUUUUUGGGCCUUUCUGGCUCGGUGCGAGUUUUGUACUUGUACAUACAUGCAGGGUAUGUCGUCGGAUGUCCGGAGUCACUACGCCUCCACCGUCACCGUGGGAGAUAUCGAACCUUGGGUCUCCCUCGUCAACAACUUCCCCGGCUGUGACGGAAUGGAUACGGACGAGGGCAACAAGGCCUGCCGCAUCUAUCCCAUUUUGAACGGCAAGGACCGCGACCUGGCUGCCAUUGCUGCUAAGAAGGCUGGCAAGCACGACAAGCCCAAGUACUGCGACUUCUGCGGCUAAUCGCAUAUCAUGCGAUAAUGCGCAUGGUGGUGAUCCUUCGUUUCUACUAGCGGUACAUCAAGACGUGGAUGAACGUAGCUGCCAGGGUGUGAGGCUUAAUUGUAUGGUCAAGCCGCAUAUGUAUUCUCUUUUGAUGUGUGUGAUCAUAGGCAAGCAUGUGUACGGCGGUAGGGGUGUUACACAUGACGGAAGUCAGUAGAGCAUCAUAGACCAUCAUGCACAUGGGGGAAGAGGCUGGGGGACUCAGUGCAGGUUAGUAUCGGGUCAGUUGCUGUCGGGAGGCGGAUGGUACAGCGCCACCUGCAUGGGUAUAGCUGCACUGAGUGGAAUCAUCAUCUGAAGACAGUGAUGCGGUCAUCAGUUUCCAUUUCCUCUGGAACACAAGCAAACUCGUGGCUUAGUGGCUGUCCGUUGUAAUGAACACGCAAUUCUCUGUCUAGGUACCACAGCUGCCUGAUCUCCCACAAGCAUGCUCUCCGCUUGGCUGCCAAAGCAGGCAGGGAUUCUUUUCAGAACACUGAGUUAGUCCUGGUCGUAGUCGUAGCGGAGCUUGCUGCAUGCCGGACCACUUGUUCUUCCUUUCCAUGUCUGUGUCUAUUACAGCGACAGGCGAUGUGCCCUUUGCGGCAAUAACGGCGUCUAAUUUGAACCAGGGAAGAUUUGGGCAGCGUAAGCCGAAAUAUGAACUGCCAGCAAAAGGAAAGGUGCUGCGUUCUGGUCAGUUGGAUGGCAAGAUGUGAAAUCCGGCCGUCAUCGGCUGUCGUCAAGCCGGCUACAGCCAUGUGCAGCAGUAAUGUGCAGUUAGACAUGCGGCGUGCACGUAGGCUGAAGUGCACGUGUGUGAACGAUGCCACAAACUGGCAUGAAUAUCAGUAGGCCGAAAGGAAGGGGCCCAGGCAGUGCGCACGCGCAUGUGUGUAUGUACGUAUGUGCGUGCGUGUGUGUAUGGGUGUGACUGGGUGUGUGUGUGUGCGUGUGUAUGUGUGUUUUACAUCACCUAACCGGGUUCUGAUACCUGACCAAGGGGCAGCUACUGGACCUGACACUGACCAGGGAUGCAGGGUCCCUGCCCUGACGGAGGGCAGCAGUCGUCAGCAGUCUAGUCGCUCUCCGACACAGGAAGAGAGGGCCUUGAGGGGUGGGCUGCUGACCCCAUCGUGGCGAGUGCACCUACCGUGUAUACACGUAUGUUAUUACAGGGUGGUUAACUUCGCCAACGGCCCCCUUUCCCGAGGCAGUCCCUGCUCUCCCCUGCUAGAGGGGCACCCUAAUCCGUAUGUAUGUAUGAAUAGGACCCCAUGCGUGGUCAACCCCGGAAGCACCUACUCCUCAAGCCCCGAUUUGCUGGAAAACUCCUGAACCCCUACGCCGCGUUACGUCGGUCUAUCUGUAUGUAUGCAUGUAUGAGCGCGCGGCUCAGGCUCCUCAUGAGCUCCUCGCGAAUAGGUCGCAUGUACCACUACAGUGGUAGGUCCACCGCCAGAAAGUCCGGCGGUACCCGGGGGCACUUCCAGGGACCCCGCCUUGCGAGUUCGCAAGGAAGCAAAGCAAAGCAAAGCGAAGGCUGAGGACAUUAGAGGUGGAGCAGAUUAGACAGGUCAGCCAUGGUGGCCGCAGUCGGCAGCUGAAGCCCGGUCAGUGAAACCCUUCGACCCGGGUACACAAUUACAAGGAUUCGUGUUCCUAAGCAAUUCCUAGUUCUAGUACCCCAUUGCUAAGUCCCGCUCCGCCUACCACAAAUCAAAGCGUGGGCACAAAAAGCACGGCAUUCUCGACAGAUGCCCAUUUACCAUCUGUACGUGAACAUGCAUGCAUGGUUCAGCAUGCAUGAGACAUGUGCAUACACGCAUAUGCACAACGGUGCAGCAUGCGGGGAACCCCGACCCCGAUCGGGCCCGAGUGCCCGAGAAGCACACCACGUUGACACUACCCUAGCCACCGGCCUGUACGGAUGCCCCCGCGGGGCCCCCGCCCUAUUUCCAGCUUCAAGGAAGCCGACACCCGACUUGUCUCUUCCGUGUAUAUUCUUGAGUACUAGAACGUUUCCAUUGUACUAUGUCCCUAACCUAACUUGUGGCUCUUAGGCUCUUGGACCUCUGGCUCGUACGGGCCUGUCACACCUCUCUGGGUAAUUUGCAAAGGCCGGCUGGAGACCAGCUUCCUCCAGAGAUGUGACUCAACAUUUCCUAGGUGCGUGGAGCACACAAACAAGUCGCCACAAUCAAUCGUCUGGUGCCGAUAGACGGGGGCAAAACUUGAUGAGGGGUGUGUUUGUGUGUGUGGUGGGGGAUCACAAUAACUUGGUUAGCAUGGUCCCGACUAUGCCAACCGUACAAAAAGCGGGAGGGUAUCCGGGGUUCUCCCGGGAUACUACCGAGCAUCCAUUCCACCGUUAGAUCACAACGUCGAUUGACUCACGUGCCGGUCGUGGUCCCAUCCAGGAACUUAUCCACGACGACAUGAUGUAUGACGUGUGAGCUCACGUCAACACCUUCCUCCCCCGGGCGAAUAUGUAGCGGUUGUAUUCGUCACACCCAUUUACUAUAAUGGUGGCAAAUGUCCGUACCCCUCAUCAGCUUGCCAGCGUUGGACGCGACGAUGCCUAGCGUGUAGACGGCUUCUGUGCCGGCGUCCCAUCCAGUGCAAGGUUCAGAUAGCACAGUCUCGGAACGCACCACGAAUCAGUCGAGCAAUUCGCACCAUCCAACAACUGAACGGGGGAUUUAAGCGAAGGAUGCCUCAUAUUAUUGUGCAUCUGUCCCUUACUCAUACAUUGAAUUUCAGCUCUAUCCAGAUAAAUCUUUGCAGUGAUCCGCUUGGGGUCUGGUGCUAUAUCUGAAAAUGGCUUUGAGGGUUGUGUUUGGCAUUCUAUUGCUGGUGUUGGUGGCGCAGCAGGCCGCAGCGGGGGGAAGCGGAGGCAAGGAGCGCCGCUGGCCCAAGGAGUUGAAGGAGGAUUUUCAGGUACAUAGGAUAAUCGGUAAAUCGGUAAAUAGAAAAUAGGUAAAUAGGUAAAUAGGUAGGUAGGGAGGUAGGGCUGAUGUACCCAACCUUUACCACUUGACCCGGUCGCCUCACUCCCUCAUUCGCCAUUCCAUGCACCCUUCCCCCCUAGGACACACACACCAUCACACUAAAACACACACGCACGACGCAACCAGGGCCCCACAUGUUCAUGCGUUGCAGUUUGAGCUCCGCAACAUCUACAGCAACCGGCAGAACGGCAGUCGCUACAACUUCCUCACCAAGUACCGCUAUCCCAGCAGCUCUGGUGGGUGCAGUACAUUCGUAGGGAACUGACAAAGCCGUCCGGACGAGGCAGGGGGCCGCGUUUCGCUCCAUUCGGAGGCAGCGGCGCUGCGAGCCGAAUGCUUUGCCUUCCUGCGUGCUGCAACGCGCUGUGCUGUGCUCGUCUACUGCAGAGGCGUUCGAUUUCCAUGAGGCGGAAGAGUUAAUUCUGAAGUUCGUGCCUGCCGGUGGCAUGGGCAUCCCAGGCGACGCAUUCACUGAAGUCCUUUCCCUCGCCAUCGCUAAGGCGCUCUGGGCGAAGUUUAACCUUGUCGGCUUGAGCUUCCGCAUUGAGGUGCAGGUGUGUGGGGGAGCCCUGUCUGCGGGUGAUGGCGGCUAAUGUGAGGCCGCCUCAUCAGCCCCCGAUGAUAAGGUUCAGCUAGGGUUAGCCUGGAAGAACGAGACCUCGAGAUUCAGAUGCACAGGAUUACGUAAGAGUACAAACCAAUAAGGAAGGACUUAGGACGAUGUGGAUUGAACGGGCGUAGCUGGGACUCGCCAUGCCGCGUGCUGUACCGUGGUCCGGCAGAUUGCGCGCAUCUAUGUCCUUCGAGGACUUGCGGCGUUUAUUUAUUUCGUAGUACGAUACCGGAUUCUGGGUUGCUGGUAAGUAAUAAUAUCAGGGGUCGCGACCUGCGCCUUUUAACGGUCGCAGCGCCCACGCUACCCACCCAAGCUGACCAUCUUCCUUCGAUGCCAUUCAAACAUGUAACCGGCGCCUGCUGGUUCGCCCACCCUUCAUUUGCAUACGUUUUUGGCCUUCCUGGCUCGGUGCGAGUUUUGUACUUGUACAUAUAUGCAGGGUAUGUCGUCGGACGUCCGAAGUCACUACGCCUCCACCGUCACCGUGGGAGAUAUCGAACCUUGGGUCUCCCUCGUCAACAACUUCCCCGGCUGUGACGGCAUGGACACGGACGAGGGCAACAAGGCCUGCCGCAUCUAUCCCAUUUUGAACGGCAAGGACCGCGACCUGGUUGCCACUGCUGCUAAGAAGGCUGGCAAGCACGACAAGCCCAAGUACUGCGAUUUCUGCGGCUAAUCGCAUAUCACACAUGCGCAUGGUG
rnacentral:lncRNA from 1 species